rnacentral:tRNA from 1 species
UCCCUGGUGGCUGAGAGGGUAAAGCGUCGGCCUGCAAUGCGGGAGACCUGGGUUCAAACCCCGGGUCGAGAA